rnacentral:lncRNA from 1 species
GGAAACAGUAGCAGUGAGGUGGAAACAGCAGCACCGAGGGGAAACAGUAGCAGUAAGGGGGAAACAGCAGCAGUGAUGGGGAAACAGCAGCAGUGAGGGGGAAACAGCAGCAGUGACAGGGAAACAGCAGCAGUGAGGUGGAAACAGCAGAAGUGAGGGGGAAACAGUAGCAGUGAGGUGGAAACAGCAGCACCGAGGUGGAAACAGUAGAAGUGAGGUGGAAACAUAGCAGUAAGGGGGAAACAGCAGAAGUGAUUGGAAACAGUAGCAGUGAUGGGAAACAGUAGCAGUGACGGGAAACAGUAAAAGUGAUGGAAAACAGUAGCAGUAAGGGG